CAAAAAUAAAAAUUACAAUAGUAUAUAACAUUGAACAAUUAAUAAUUUUUACUGAAAAGUUCUAAUAUAUUUAAAAGUUAAUACUGUAUAUUUAAUUGACAUGCCAGGAGAUAUUUCUUAUCAUCAUGGCCAACGAACCCUGGCACGUCGUCGUAUCCCCGUGAUUAGUAUCGAUGGUUAUCAGUACAUGUGCUCCAAAAUUAAUCUUAAUGUCACGUAUGUUGUAUGAUCAGCAAUGCACAAGUCAUUUAUCAUUUUGAAGAAUCUUUGUUUAACGAGGUGAAAAAAGAACAUUUCAAGUCACUGAGAGUUAUUUAUGAUGAAAUGACUUUGCUUCAUUAUGAAGCCGCUGUUCAUGUCCCAUGGGUAAAUAUUAAAUCAAAAAUGUUAAGAUGGAGGCGACAAACAAGACCCCCCGUACUCAAUUCGAUAGAACAAUAUUUAAAUAUAAUUGAAAUGCCAGAAUGGAACUUUUUCACCAGUUACAACGCAACGAACAUAAUAGUCACAACUAUUGAAGACAAUGAUCAUUUUAAAUCAAUAAUUUACGCUGAUUUAGGAUUUUUACGAUCCUUAAAUAAUGUGACUGAACUUUUUAUGGAUGCUACAUUUAAAGUGAUUCCAAGAAAACCUGCAUUUCGUCAAUUGUUCACGAUUUUAGGAUUUGUCCAAGAUUCUGUUAUACCGCUUUGUUGGGUCUUAAUGCAAAAAAAAAGAUACAUCAGCUUAUGAAUCAGUUCUUACGUACUUCUCCUUAAUUUUGGCACCUCAUUUGCGUCCAUUAGCAAUCAACACUGAUUUUGAAAGUGCUCUAGGUAUCGCUAUUCUAAGGAACUAUCCAGAGGCUACUCAUACUCGAUGUUAUUUUCAUUAUUGCCAGGCGAUAAUGAAAAGAAUAAAGAAGUUGCGUCUUCUGAAUGCAAUAAAUGAAAGCAAUGAAAAUCGAUUGUUUUUACAAAAAUUAUUAGUACUACCUCUACUUCCUCCUGAUGAUAUUGAAUUGGCAUUUUACUGGAUUCUCAGUACUACUGCACCAGUACUUUUAUUGCAGUUUAAGAAGCUAUUAAAGUAUUUUCAUAACCAGUGGAUAAGAAGAACAAGGCCAGAUGUAUAUUCUGUUUUUCUUAGAGUUUUUAGAACAAAUAACUUCUCCGAGGCUUAUAAUAAAGUAUUGGCUCUACGGUUUGGAACUCAUCCAAAUAUUUGGGAUUUUACAGAAAAAAUUGUUCUUUUACAAGAAUUAAAGCGUAUCGAGUAUGAAUCAUUACAAAACGGCAAUCGAAUAACGGAGCAAUCUCGAAGUCGUGAAACCUUAAAAAAUGAAAUUAUCCAUAGCGCUUGGGUUUUAUACCAAAACAACCAAUUUGGUAUUCCGCAAUUUAUUAACUGUGUGAGCUACUUCAUCAAUGAACUUAAAAGUGGAAGAGAUGUUGAUGUUCAACAAAUUCAUAAUUUCAUCGCUGAAAAUCCAAUUGAAAUUGAAUUCGUUGUUGGUGAACAUAUCACAGACUGUACGAUGUGUGAACUAAGAAUGACCAAUCAUAUUUGUCAGCCAUGCAACCAUUGGUUUGGAUGCUCUCGGUGUGUGCAAAACAUGCGAGUCUUUCUUGCUCGCGUGCAAGCUAAUUUGCGUUGCCCAACUUGCGACAAUGUUAUAGCAUCAUUUGAACAGAUUUUUUGAAUAUUUUCUGACAUUAAUGAUUUAUUUAAAUACAAAAAAAAAUUUU
rnacentral:misc_RNA from 1 species